GAGAUCUUAGUUUAAUUGGUAAAAUAUGUGACUUUUAAUCAUCAUUACACGAGUUCGAGUCUGGUAGAUCUUA
rnacentral:tRNA from 1 species